rnacentral:rRNA from 1 species
CCUACGGGAGGCAGCAGUGAGGAAUAUUGGUCAAUGGGCGUAAGCCUGAACCAGCCAAGCCGCGUGAGGGAUGAAGGUUCUAUGGAUUGUAAACCUCUUUUAUAAGGGAAUAAAGUGCGGGACGUGUCCCGUUUUGUAUGUACCUUAUGAAUAAGGAUCGGCUAACUCCGUGCCAGCAGCUGCGGUAAUACGGAGGAUCCGAGCGUUUUCCGGAUUUAUUGGGUUUAAGGGGUGCGUAGGAGGCAGUUUAAGUCAGCGGUGAAAGUCUGGGGGUCAACCGUAGAAUUGCCGUUGAAACUGGGAGGCUGGAGGAUGUAUGAGGCAGGCGGAAUGCGUGGUGUAGCGGUGAAAUGCUUAGAUAUCACGCAGAACCCCGAUUGCGAAGGCAGCCUGCCAAGCCAUGACUGACGCUGAUGCACGAAAGCGUGGGGAUCAAACAGGAUUAGAUACCCUAGUAGUC